rnacentral:rRNA from 1 species
AAUAGAUACCCCGGUAGUCCACGCCGUAAACGAUGAGUGCUAGGUGUUGGUGGGGACACCCAUUAGUGCCGCAGCUAACGCAUUAAGCACUCCGCCUGGGGAGUACGGUCGCAAGACUGAAACUCAAAGGAAUUGACGGGGACCCGCACAAGCAGCGGAGCAUGUGGUUUAAUUCGACGCAACGCGAAGAACCUUACCAGGGCUUGACAUCCCUCUGACCGGACUAGAGAUAGUUCUUUCUCUUCGGAGACAGAGGAGACAGGUGGUGCAUGGUUGCCGUCAGCUCGUGUCGUGAGAUGUUGGGUUAAGUCCCGCAACGAGCGCAACCCUUGCCUUUAGUUGCCAUCAGGUAAAGCUGGGCACUCUAGAGGGACUGCCGGUGACAAACCGGAGGAAGGUGGGGAUGACGUCAAAUCAUCAUGCCCCUUAUGUCCUGGGCUACACACGUGCUACAAUGGUCGGUACAACGGGAAGCGAGACUGCGAAGUUGAGCAAAUCCCAAUAAGCCGAUCCCAGUUCGGAUUGU